AUACUCACCUGGUGGGGAGGUGAACUGAUCANAAUAUGGUUUCCCAGGCCAAGGUUCCNCCAUUGUACUUGGAUAUACUGACCUAUAAGCUCUCCAAAUGCAGGAGAAGUUGACUACAUCAUUUGUGGUAGCGAGGAAAUUCAUCCUCA
rnacentral:snRNA from 11 species